AUUGAACGCUGGCGGCAGGCCUAACACAUGCAAGUCGAACGAGUGGCGGACGGGUGAGUAAUGUCUGGGAAACUGCCCGAUGGAGGGGGAUAACUACUGGAAACGGUAGCUAAUACCGCAUACCAUCGGAUGUGCCCAGAUGGGAUUAGCUAGUAGGUGGGGUAACGGCUCACCUAGGCGACGAUCCCUAGCUGGUCUGAGAGGAUGACCAGACACACUGCAACCGUGACAGGGUCCAGACUCCUACGGGAGGCAGCAGUGGGGAAUAUUGCACCAUGGGGGCAAGCCUGAGGCAGCAAUGCCGCGUGUAUGAAGAAGGCCUUCGGGUUGUAAAGUACUUUCAGCGAGGAGGCGUUACUCGAAGAAGAAGCACCGGCUAACUCCGUGCCAGCAGCCGCGGUAAUUG
rnacentral:rRNA from 1 species